UACGGAGGGUGCAAGCGUUAUCCGGAUUCACUGGGUUUAAAGGGUGCGUAGGCGGGCAGGUAAGUCCGUGGUGAAAUCUCUGAGCUUAACUCAGAAACUGCCAUGGAUACUAUUUGUCUUGAAUAUUGUGGAGGUAAGCGGAAUAUGUCAUGUAGCGGUGAAAUGCUUAGAUAUGACAUAGAACACCAAUUGCGAAGGCAGCUUACUAAGCAAAUAUUGACGCUGAGGCACGAAAGCGUGGGGAUCAAACAGG
rnacentral:rRNA from 1 species